CAAAAGAAUGAGUUUUCCCAUCCAAAAAAUCAAUCAACUCCAUCUCCUUAAGAAUCCUCACUGGCCGCCUCCACAACACCAGCAGUUGGUAAGACCCUUAUUCUCAUAACCAAACACACCAAAUUCAAUUUUUUAAUUCUACACAGGUGUGAGUUUUCCCAACCUUCUUCCUCUCGACAACUAGACAUUUCUUUCUUUCUGCUGAGAUGAAGGCUAUCUGUCGACAGUCGUUAUGAUUAAUGUUUGAAAUAUUAGUCUUGAUACUCACCAUACAUAAAGAUGAUUGGGUAGAAUGCAUCUGGCCUGAACUUGCAAUUGAAUAAAUGAGUAGAACUCGGUUUGCUUUAAUUUUAUCUAAAUUUAUUGAUAAUAGCCAUGUGUAUUUGAGGGUGUUUUAUUAUAUUAUUCCUAGGAAUCAUAUCAUAAAUAUAGAAAACAUAAACCCCCUUUCCAGAACCUAUAGAGUGCAUUGUAUCUGUCAUUUUUAAUUUUCCAAAACACUCAAAACGUAUUUGGUAUGUUAUUUUCGAAAAUACGUUUCAAAAAAAAUGACUUUUUGAGUGUUUUCAUAGAACUCAAAAUAAGAAAAAUGAACUUAAAAUUUUCUCAAAAUAAAAUAAUUAAUAAAAUUAUACAAAAUCUAUCCAAGUACAGAUACCCAUCUCUCUCUCUCUCUCUCUCGUCCCAAGCAAGCCCAAAAACCUAGUGCAAAAUCUAUCUUUCUAGUGCUAUUUCUAAGUCUCAGGUUAGGAGAGUGAAGGUAAUUUUUCAGUUUUUGAAGUGGGUAUUCUCCAAUUGAUUUUGUGUUAAUGAAUACAAAAUGUUCUCUUCUGUAUUCUCCUUUGUGUUCUCCAAUUGAUUUUGUUUCUUGUUUUUCAAAUGUUCUUUCUCAUAUUUGUGUGUAUAACUUAUAGUCUGCAUUUUUUUAUUUGGGAUAUAGAGUUACUUAUCCUGUGUAAAAGAUUGACUUGAUCAGAUCUUCGGUUAAAGGGAUUUGGAAUUCUUGGAUGGACGAUGGGAAAAUCAUUCGAAUGGCUUGCUUUCUUGGUUUCAUUUGUUGUAUUAUUGUGAAUGACAAGGAUUAAUUAUAACAUGGAGUGUUUGAAGUUACUAGUCCAGACCUUUAUUUAAAUAUGGAGCGUUUGAACAUCUUAAACAACAUUCAAGUAGUGUCUAAUGAGAUUUAUAUGAAAGCAAUAAAGGCUUUUAAGGAUUCAGAUUUAAUGACGACAUUUGUGAUGAUGCCAUAACUUAGGAGAAGACCUAUCUUGGAACUUUUUUUGAUUUACAUGAUAGGUCUGGUUACGUAUUUUGUACUUCUAAUGUAGGAUUGUUUUCUUUUCAUAUAUUGAUUAUGAACUUUGUAAUUUUCAAGAUUUGCUAUAGUUUUAUUUAAUUGAUGUAUUGGAUUUUGAUAUUUAUAUUUGUUGGAGUACUAUUUUAAAUGAUUAUUGUAGGUGCAAAACUGAUACGAGCGACAAUAAUUUAU
rnacentral:lncRNA from 1 species